CAUGUGUGUAAUGGCCCUCAUGUAUCAUGUCUCUUCUGUAGGACAGGUGUUCAUCAGGCAAGUCAAUUUCAAUCAGUUCCUCCCUGCCUCACCAAAGUUACCUUGUCCCAUGAUGGUGCUGCAACUCUCAAUGCCACACAGCUUCUUUCAGCCUCUGUCAGGGCAAGGGGAGAGCACUCUUGCUGGAAGAU